GGCGGCACGCCUUAUACAUGCAAGUCGAACGAAGUAGCAAUACUUAGUGGCAGACGGGUGAGUAACAUGUAGGUAUCUUCCCUUUGGUGAGGAAUAACACGAGGAAACUUGUGCUAAUACCUCAUAAGUCUUUACGGAGAAAGCUUUAUGCGCCAAUGGAUGAGCCUGCACUUGAUUAGUUAGUUGGUGGGGUAAUAGCCUACCAAGACUUUGAUCAAUAGCUGAUCUGAGAGGAUGAUCAGCCACAUUGGGACUGAGACACGGCCCAAACUCCUACGGGAGGCAGCAGUAGGGAAUAUUGCACAAUGGAGGAAACUCUGAUGCAGCGAUGCCGCGUGAGUGAAGAAGGCCUUUGGGUUGUAAAGCUCUUUCGUCGGGGAAGAAAAUGACUGUACCCGAAUAAGAAGGUCCGGCUAACUUCGUGCCAGCAGCCGCGGUAAUACGAAGGGACCUAGCGUAGUUCGGAAUUACUGGGCUUAAAGAGUUCGUAGGUGGUUAAAAAAGUUGGUUGUGAAAUCCCGAAGCUUAACUUCGGAACUGCAAUCAAAACUUUUUAGCUAGAGUAUGAUAGAGGAAAGCAGAAUUUCUAGUGUAGAGGUGAAAUUCGUAGAUAUUAGAAAGAAUACCAAUUGCGAAGGCAGCUUUCUGGAUCAUUACUGACGCUGAGGAACGAAAGCAUGGGUAGCGAAGAGGAUUAGAUACCCUCGUAGUCCAUGCCGUAAACGAUGUGUGUUAGACGUUGGAAAUUAAUUUUCAGUGUCGCAGCGAAAGCAGUAAACACACCGCCUGGGGAGUACG
rnacentral:rRNA from 1 species